rnacentral:rRNA from 1 species
ACGGGAGGCAGCAGUAGGGAAUUUUCGGCAAUGGGCGGAAGCCUGACCGAGCAAUGCCGCGUGAACGAAGAAGUUAUUCGUAAUGUAAAGUUCUUUUAUCAGGGAAGAAAAAACAAAUUGACGGUACCUGAUGAAUAAGCUCCGGCUAACUACGUGCCAGCAGCCGCGGUAAUACGUAGGGAGCGAGCGUUAUCCGGAAUUAUUGGGCGUAAAGGGUGCGUAGAUGGCACAUUAAGUUUCUUGUAAAAUUGCUGGGCUCAACCCAGUAGUGCAAGAGAUACUGAUGAGCUAGAGUACGAGAGAGGCAAGUGGAAUUCCAUGUGUAGCGGUAAAAUGCGUAAAUAUAUGGCAGAACACCAGUGGCGAAGGCGGCUUGCUAGCUCGAUACUGACAUUGAGGCACGAAAGCGUGGGGAGCAAACAGGAUUAGAUACCCUGGUA